rnacentral:rRNA from 1 species
AAUUGUAGCCUAAGUCACUUAAUAGGCUAUUAUUAUAGGUUGCCCACUGAAGCUAAGCAGGUUUGAGCCUGGUCAGUACCUGGAUGGGAGACCUCCUGGGAAAACUAGGUUGCUGCUGGAA